GGGUGAGUANNGUCUGGGAAACUGCCCGAUGNNNNNNGANAACUACUGGAAACGGUAGCUAAUACCGCAUAACGUCGCAAGACCAAAGAGGGGGACCUUCGGGCCUCUUGCCAUCGGAUGUGCCCAGAUGGGAUUAGCUAGUAGGUGGGGUAACGGCUCACCUAGGCGACGAUCCCUAGCUGGUCUGAGAGGAUGACCAGCCACACUGGAACUGAGACACGGUCCAGACUCCUACGGGAGGCAGCAGUGGGGAAUAUUGCACAAUGGGCGCAAGCCUGAUGCAGCCAUGCCGCGUGUAUGAAGAAGGCCUUCGGGUUGUAAAGUACUUUCAGCGAGGAGGAAGGUGUUGUGGUUAAUAACCACAGCAAUUGACGUUACUCGCAGAAGAAGCACCGGCUAACUCCGUGCCAGCAGCCGCGGUAAUACGGAGGGUGCAAGCGUUAAUCGGAAUUACUGGGCGUAAAGCGCACGCAGGCGGUCUGUCAAGUCGGAUGUGAAAUCCCCGGGCUCAACCUGGGAACUGCAUCCGAAACUGGCAGGCUAGAGUCUUGUAGAGGGGGGUAGAAUUCCAGGUGUAGCGGUGAAAUGCGUAGAGAUCUGGAGGAAUACCGGUGGCGAAGGCGGCCCCCUGGACAAAGACUGACGCUCAGGUGCGAAAGCGUGGNGAGCAAACAGGAUUAGAUACCCUGGUAGUCCACGCCGUAAACGAUGUCGACUUGGAGGUUGUGCCCUUGAGGCGUGGCUUCCGGAGCUAACGCG
rnacentral:rRNA from 1 species